UGACAGAGUGAGAGAGGGGGUGAAUAGUGACCGAGUGAGGGAGGAAGAGGGUGACUAGUGACAGAGUGAGGAAGGGGGUGACACAGUGAUAGUCACCCCAUUCCUCCCUCUGUCACUAAUCACCACCUCCCUCACUCUCACUAGUCACCCCUUCCCUCCCUCACUCUGUCACUAGUCACACCCUCCCUCUCUCUGUCACUA